GUUCUUGCUUCGGCAGCACAUGUACUGGAGUUGGAGCAAUACAGAGAAGAUGGGCAUGGCCCCUGCGCAAGGGUGACAUGCAAAUUCAUGAAGCAUUCCAUAUUAAG